rnacentral:rRNA from 1 species
CCUACGGGAGGCAGCAGUGGGGAAUAUUGGACAAUGGGGGGAACCCUGAUCCAGCGACGCCGCGUGAGGGAAGAAGUAUUUCGGUAUGGAAAGCUCUAUCAGCAGGGGAGUAAAUUACGGUACCUGACUAACAAGCCCCGUCUAACUACGUGCCAGCAGCCGCGGUAAUGCGUAGGGAGCAAGCGUUAUCCGGAUUUACUGGGUGUAAAGGGGGCGUAUACGGUCCAGUAAGUCUGAUGGGAAAGGCCGGGGCCCAACCCCAGGACUGCAGUGGAAACUGUUGAACUGGAGUACAGGAGAGGCAGGCGGAAUUCCUAGUGUAGCGGUGAAAUGCGUAGAUAUUAGGAGGAACACCAGUGGCGAAGGCGGCUUACUGGACUGUAACUGACGUUGAGGCUCGAAAGCGUGGGGAGCAAACAGGAUUAGAUACCCGGGUAGUC